AGAUGGCGACCGGCGCACGGGUGAGUAACACGUAUCCAACCUGCCGAUAACUCGGGGAUAGCCUUUCGAAAGAAAGAUUAAUACCCGAUGGCAUAAUUAGACCGCAUGGUCUUAUUAUUAAAGAAUUUCGGUUAUCGAUGGGGAUGCGUUCCAUUAGGCAGUUGGUGAGGUAACGGCUCACCAAACCUUCGAUGGAUAGGGGUUCUGAGAGGAAGGUCCCCCACAUUGGAACUCGAGACACGGUCCAA
rnacentral:rRNA from 1 species